CUACGUUAGUGCUGCCAAGAUCAGUUUCUACAUCAAGGGGAGGAAGGAGACGUUUUCCUUCAAGAACAAGACUACACAAAUCUCAGAGCAAUCCCGACAUGAACCAAGGAAAGGACCAACAGGAGGAACAGGAACAAGCAAUUGUGGACCGAGUCAGCUAAGAUGGUCACUACUGCUCAAGGCGGUCAAGAUUGUCAACUCAAGUCGCCUUUCUUGAUCAAGAAGGACGACCCUGGUGUCCCAAGCAUCGAGUGCACAAUCAACGGAUAUUCUUUUCAGAAGACACUCUACAACACCGGAUCUAACGUCAACAUAAUGGCCGCAGUCACUUAUCAGCUCCUGCAUGGAACCAUGUCCCUACAACCAACAUACAUUCAGCUCCAAAUGGCAGAUCAGACAUUCUGAAAGAUUGAAGGUUAUUGACAUGGGACAAGACGAGUACGAUCCACCCAUCAUCCUUGGAAGACCGUUCUUUAGCACCAUUAAAGCAAUCAUAUACAUUGGAACCAGAGAAGUCCACAUGCACUUCCCCUCAGAGAAGGUACGCCACUGUUUUACUGACCCUAACUAUAUAGUUGAAGAUUCUAAGCAGGUCAGGACAAGAAGACGACGACACAGCCGCAACCAGAGGAGGCAAAUCAUCAAGGAUGAAUGGUUAGACAAUGAAGGAGAAGUUGUAAGGUCUGAAGACAUACAACUUAAACAGAAUUGUCCUGAGGCGACCGUAGCACCGAGUCAAGUGUGGAGAGAGAAGAUAGUUAUACAUGAAGAGCAGGCUCCACCGGAACCACCGACUACGCCAUCCAGCGAAUCCCAGGACGAUUGAGAAAACGGAGAGUCCCGUUCGAAGGACGUAAAAACACCGAACGCCCUGCCAAGAGGUAAACUUGGUAGUUAUCUUUUUCCUUUCAAUUAUUUUAGUUAAUCAGGUUCAUAUCAUCUUGAAAAUAAAAUAAAAAUGUUAAGUAAGCCCCAUGUGAGUAUGCUCAUGGCAUAAAGCCCAUAAGUACAUUCACUGUGGUGGCAUAAAAAUAAAAUAAAUAUAUUCCUGUCCUAUAAAAAUAAAAUUAUAAAAAUAAAUUUAUGAUCCUAUUAAAGAGAGUAACAUUUAUUGAGGAGGCUCAACAUGAUAAAGGCUAGAUAUUUAUGCUAACACUUAACCAGUUCCACAAAGCUUUGUUGUCUAUUUGAGCUCCACAGAAUUCAAGGAUCAAAGAAGACUAGCAGACGGAGGACAACCUAAUCGCUGUCAGCCGACAUUCAAAUAAACCUCCACCACCUACUAGCUACAUCAGAAGAAAUUACAUCAAAAUCCAGCUUAGGGGAGAGCACCCCCAUUUACCCAGCUAAGUAUUUUACUCACGUUUAUACUUUACUCAAAUAAUAAAAAGAUGCAUGAUCUUAAAAACCCAAAUAAAGAUUUUGUGCUUAUAUAUAUAUAUCUUUGCUUAGUUUGCUAAAUAAAUAAAUAAAUAAAGUUUUCUAUGAACCCUCAUGAUAGGCUCUCACAUGGAAUUGAUGAAUAGUUGCUCUGCCAUGACUAGUUCUAAAAAUUAAAAUCUCUCUCAAGUUUAGGCAUGACUGUUAUUAAUUAAGAUUUGCUCUAAACCUGAACUUGUGGGAAGAGUACUUGAUCUAAAGUCUAAGUCGUUAACGGAUAUGAUAUGGGAAGGUUGAGCUGCUGUUUAUCUAUUCCUAGAGAUGCUAGAAUUCUGGAGAAUUUUAUCUUUGAAAAUAUUUAAAAUGUUGCAUGAUGAGUUCCUGUAUGAUGAGAGUUUAAAUUCCUACCACAGCCAUAUAUACAUGCUUGCUAGACUAUGAACCACACAUUUACUUUACUACUUAUGAGCAUUGAGUGUGGUCAAGCUGUGUAGACCCUUAGGAGCUUGUCAUGUGGUUAAAAUCAAGAUUCACUUGCACGUUCACUCACACAUGCUGCUUCUACUCCAAAAGUACGCAUCCACAUAUAUCCACCUAUUUUCAUCUCCAGAACCACCCAAAAAUAUUCUACUCCUAAUCCGGGAGAGAAUAGCCAAAAACAUUCUCCUAUUUCUAUUUUUCCCUGUGAAAUAAAUGCUCUAGUUAUCUUGGUUACUACCACUUGCUAUAUUAUUUCAUGAGAUGAGUGCUCUCUAAAAAAAGAAAAAAAAGAAAGAAAAAAAGAAAGAAUACGAGGAAAUAAAAAGGGGCAAGUGCCCGGAACCUCGAAAGAAAAAAAAAGUGAGACGAGAGGUAAAAAUGGACAAGUGUCCGACAGUAGAAUUAGGGGUACAAGAUACCCACCUGAGAGAAGAAAAAGAAAAAAAUAUAUAUAUAGAGGAUCUCAUUCUCCUCAAAAAGUUUCAAAAGAGCAAGAAAGGUAUGUAUCCUCUCAAAAGAGCACAAGUAGAAUUAGACUUUCACCAUUGUUAUCACCAUCAUCACCAUACACCAUUCAUUCGCCACACAUGCACAUCUUGAUUUGUCUUAUUGACUUGUUCUUCUGGAUCCAUGGUUUGACUAUGCAAUAAAUGUCUUGUAAGUAUGUAUUAGCUGUCUCCCACCUAUGAGCUCCAGAUAUCAAAACCUUAUUAGAGUAGGGUGAGAGAGAAGGCAAUGCCACUAUGCUUCAUACUACAAAUACCACAUACUUUGAGAGAAGGCAUAUACCAUCACUGCCUUGGUAAGGAUCCAGAAAUACCACAAAAGAGAGACUAGAGAGAGUCAUACAAGGAAUCUCUAAGUUUUAUUUGAAAAUCUGCAAAAACUCCGGAGCUAUAGUUAAUCGAAGAACAAGAGACAUAGCGCUUGAUUAGACCGUUCUAUCUUUUAACUACUCAAGACAGAAGUGACGGUUACAAACCCCAUGGUGAAAGGUAAUAUGAGUAAGUUUUAAGUCUUAACAGUUUACUCUAACCCAGAGAUGAUAUCUUGUUUGAACGCAUUUGUAUCUUUAAGGCAUAAAACCACUGCAGAAACUCUUGAGUCCAUCUUUGCUCGGGGACGAGCAAAGGUUAAGCUUGGGGGAGCUUGUUGACGGUCCUUAAUGCUCACAUUUAACCAUCAACUAAUCAUAGAAAAGGAUCAAAAUGCAACCAACACCUAGACUUAGGGUUUUAUCUGACAGAAUUCCACGAGUUUUGGUGUUUGUCUAUUUCUGCAGGGGAUUAUCAGGAAAUACGGAAGAAAGGCCCACACGUCGGGUUUACAUAGAGAUAUUAACGUGCCGCGCAAUUUUCUAUCAUCUAGAAGACUCCAGAAGCCACGGGAACGAACGGGAAGGAAAUCGGGCUCGAAGGCAGGGCGCCCGCCCAACUCUCCUGGGCGCCCGCCCACCUACAGUGCCCAAUCAAGACACGUUUCGCGGACAACGCUCCACCGACCUAAAGGAUCAAGGAAAACCGUGCGAUCAAUGUCGGUUUGAUCUGACGGCCCAGAUUCACUUGAAGGGACUAUAAAACCAGACCCCCUGGCCCCUGGAGAUCAUACCUCUUCUACAGAAUCAAAGCUAGGGUUUCAAUUCUUCAUCCAAGUAGAGAGGAUCCCUCUAGUUCUUCUAGUUCUACCUCUAGUUCAUCUAGAUCUAGUUCUAGUUCAUCUAGUUCUAGUUCUAGUUCCUCUAGUUCUAGUUCUAGUUAGUUCUAGUUGUAAUCUAGAAAAUAGGGAGAGAGAAGAGGAGAGCGGAGGAGGAGCCGGAUCUGUUGGAUCUUCCUCAACAUUAUACUUUUGCAGCAUCUGGUUCGUUCUUCAUCGUUCUCCAGGUUCUUCAAUUCAUAAUUCCUGAGUUCUUUAAUUACUUUUAUUUACAUUCAAGUUAUUUAUUGGAUUCCCGCUUGCAUCAAGUGCUCUAGUCUUUAUAACGCUAGAGUAGUAAUUAAUAGAUUAGACGUGGUGUUUAGUCUUGCGAUUACCUGGAAUUGCACCCAAUCCCACGGAUUGUUGUGGUAGCCCUAGGGUAGUGACAGCCCNNNNNNNNNNNNNNNNNNNNNNNNNNNNNNNNNNNNNNNNNNNNNNNNNNNNNNNNNNNNNNNNNNNNNNNNNNNNNNNNNNNNNNNNNNNNNNNNNNNNAAUACUUCCCUUUGCUGAGAAAAGGGUCGGGCAUCGUGGUCGCUCUGUAUUUCGCAUCAACUCCGACUUUCACCAUUGUUAUCACCAUCAUCACCAUACACCAUUCAUUCGCCACACAUGCACAUCUUGAUUUGUCUUAUUGACUUGUUCUUCUGGAUCCAUGGUUUGACUAUGCAAUAAAUGUCUUGUAAGUAUGUAUUAGCUGUCUCCCACCUAUGAGCUCCAGAUAUCAAAACCUUAUUAGAGUAGGGUGAGAGAGAAGGCAAUGCCACUAUGCUUCAUACUACAAAUACCACAUACUUUGAGAGAAGGCAUAUACCAUCACUGCCUUGGUAAGGAUCCAGAAAUACCACAAAAGAGAGACUAGAGAGAGUCAUACAAGGAAUCUCUAAGUUUUAUUUGAAAAUCUGCAAAAACUCCGGAGCUAUAGUUAAUCGAAGAACAAGAGACAUAGCGCUUGAUUAGACCGUUCUAUCUUUUAACUACUCAAGACAGAAGUGACGGUUACAAACCCCAUGGUGAAAGGUAAUAUGAGUAAGUUUUAAGUCUUAACAGUUUACUCUAACCCAGAGAUGAUAUCUUGUUUGAACGCAUUUGUAUCUUUAAGGCAUAAAACCACUGCAGAAACUCUUGAGUCCAUCUUUGCUCGGGGACGAGCAAAGGUUAAGCUUGGGGGAGCUUGUUGACGGUCCUUAAUGCUCACAUUUAACCAUCAACUAAUCAUAGAAAAGGAUCAAAAUGCAACCAACACCUAGACUUAGGGUUUUAUCUGACAGAAUUCCACGAGUUUUGGUGUUUGUCUAUUUCUGCAGGGGAUUAUCAGGAAAUACGGAAGAAAGGCCCACACGUCGGGUUUACAUAGAGAUAUUAACGUGCCGCGCAAUUUUCUAUCAUCUAGAAGACUCCAGAAGCCACGGGAACGAACGGGAAGGAAAUCGGGCUCGAAGGCAGGGCGCCCGCCCAACUCUCCUGGGCGCCCGCCCACCUACAGUGCCCAAUCAAGACACGUUUCGCGGACAACGCUCCACCGACCUAAAGGAUCAAGGAAAACCGUGCGAUCAAUGUCGGUUUGAUCUGACGGCCCAGAUUCACUUGAAGGGACUAUAAAACCAGACCCCCUGGCCCCUGG
rnacentral:lncRNA from 1 species